rfam:Cavia porcellus supercont2_15 genomic scaffold, whole genome shotgun sequence.
GCCGAGCAUGGUGGGGCACCUGUAUUCCCCAGCUGCUUGGGAGAUGAGGUGGGAGGAUCGCUUGAGUCCAGCAGUUCUGGGCUGCAGUGGGCUAUGCUGAUCGGGUGUCCCCACUAAGUUCCGCAUCAAUAUGGUGACCACUCGGGAGCACGAGACCACCAGGUUGCCUAAGGAGGGGUGAACCGGGCGCAAGUCCUAAACGGAGCAGUCCAAACUCCCAUGCUGAUCAGUAGUGGGAUCGCGCCUGUGAACAGCAACUGCACUCCAGCCUGGGCAAUAUAGUGAGACCCUGUCUCUU